rnacentral:lncRNA from 1 species
ACAGAAAGUUCACCAGCGUGCCAGAGAGAACACAACAUGCAUGGUUUGAGAGUGUGUGAAAGACCAGGGAAAACCACCAGAGUCACCUUUGACUGUUCUGUGCUCAUUUCAUGUUACCAGUGAUUCCCUUUAAUCGUCAGCGCCACUACUGAAACAAAGCUCCAGUGUCAACUUAAUUCAGUGGAAAUCAGGCUGAAACUGCAACCUUUCCCAAACUCAUGUAGGGUAAAUACCAUUUUCUCCCAACCAGUAAGGUGUACAAAGUUCUUGAAAGAAUUACUUUUAUGGCCCUUUUCCCCGUCUUCUGACAUGAAUCACUGAAAGUAGAAAGCCCAUUUAGUAAAGAAAAUUGAAAAUGCCUUUUUCCUAGCUAGAAAACAUUACCAUCUAGUUCACUGGAACUACUUCAGCUGUUGUACUUGUCUCAAAUACUUUUCUGUCAGCCCCUAUUAUCCAUGCAUUCAAUAAGCAUUCUUUAAAUG